ACCCUAGAGGCGCUGCAGGUCUGGCUGCAGUACCACUAGUGCAUCAGUAGGGGGCAGAGAGGAGAGAGGCAAUUUCUUUCUUUUUUUAACUUACUUGGAAAAGAGUUAUUUACUUUAUGUA
ensembl:snoRNA LOC120095456 small nucleolar RNA SNORA17